AACGAACGCUGGCGGCAGGCUUAACACAUGCAAGUCGAACGCGUGUAGCAAUACACGAGUGGCGCACGGGUGAGUAACGCGUGGAUAUCUGCCUUUUGGUUCGGAAUAACCCCGGGAAACUGGGGCUAAUACCGGAUGGUUCCUUCGGGAUAAAGAUUUAUCGCCAAAAGAUGAGUCCGCGUCCGUUUAGCUAGUUGGUGAGGUAACGGCUCACCAAGGCGACGAUCGGUAGCUGGUCUGAGAGGACGAUCAGCCACACUGGGACUGAGACACGGCCCAGACUCCUACGGGAGGCAGCAGUGGGGAAUAUUGGACAAUGGGGGCAACCCUGAUCCAGCCAUGCCGCGUGAGUGAUGAAGGCCUUCGGGUUGUAAAGCUCUUUUGGCGGGGACGAUGAUGACGGUACCCGCAGAAUAAGCCCCGGCUAACUUCGUGCCAGCCGCCGCCGUAA
rnacentral:rRNA from 1 species